AUGUCGGACAUGAGCUUGAUGAGUGGAGGAGCCGGGCCCCAUGAGGAUGCUGACUUCCCACCCAUUGGUCAAAGCGUCCACCCUGAAUGGACCAGGUUGCUGGUGGACACUGAUCCCUGUGGCCAGGGCCUCCGAGCAUUUGGUGUUCAGCUCAUCGGGGACUCUGUGGACACCAGAGGGCAGAAUGGGACUCAGCCUGUGGGAUUCUGGCCUGGCUUCCCGGCAGCAAGCAGGAGCUUCAGAUGCUCAUUCCCGCCGCGGUCGGCUGUGGCGGCGACUCAUACCCGUUUCCGCUCGAAUGAUGCCAGCUGUCCUGCUGCGCCACCUUCCUCUGUCCUCGCAUCCGCUGAUGGGAUUUCCGGUCGCUUCCACUUUGUGGCUCUUUUGAAGAAUGCCGCUAGGAACAUUCACACGCAGGUUUUUGGUGUGGACGUAUGUUUGUAUUUCUCCUGGGCACACCCGGGAUGGAGCUGCUGGGUGGCAUGGAAUUCCACCUGUGACUUACUGAAGAGCUGCCAGGCAGUUUCCCAGAGGGGCUUCAUCGCUCUGCCUCCCCCCGCCGCUCCUCACCCCGCCGCUCCUCACCCCCCGCCGCUCCCCCACACACCCCCCGCCGCUCCACACACCCCCCGCCGCUCCCUCACACCCCCCGCCGCUCCCUCACACCCCCCGCCGCUCCCACACACACACCCCGCCGCUCCCUCACAGCCCCCGCCGCUCCCUCACACCCCCCGCCGCUCCCUCACAGCCCCCGCCGCUCCCACACACACACCCCGCCGCUCCCUCACAGCCCCCGCCGCUCCCCCCCACACCCCCCGCCGCUCCCUCACAUCCCCCGCCGCUCCCUCACACCCCCCGCCGCUCCCUCACACCCCCCGCCGCUCCCACACACACCCCCCGCCGCUCCCACACACACCCCCCGCCGCUCCCACACACACCCCCCGCCGCUCCCACACACACCCCCCGCCGCUCCCACACACACCCCCCGCCGCUCCCACACACACCCCCCGCCGCUCCCACACACACCCCCGCCGCUCCCACACACCCCCCGCCGCUCCCUCACACCCCCCGCCGCUCCCCCACACACCCCCCGCCGCUCCCCCACACACCCCGCCGCUCCCACACACACCCCCCGCCGCUCCCACACACACCCCCCGCCGCUCCCCCACACACCCCCCGCCGCUGGUCACGGGUCCACCCUUCAACUGCAGCCAUCCCAGGGGGUGUGAAGUGGAUCUCACUGUGGUUUUUAUUUUCAUUUCCCUGAUACAGAAUCCACAGAGACAUAAACAGACGAGUGGUUCUGAGGGGUGGGUGGGGUGGGGCGUGAGGCAGGGAGAAGAGGGAGAAGGUUCUGGAAUUAGAUGGUGGUGAUGGUCACACAAGGUGGUGAAUUGAACAUACUAAAAACCACUGACUUGUACCUUUUAAACUGGUGAAUUUUAUCCCAAUGAAAAAAAAACACCUUGUUCCUCCUUUGAGACCCAGCUCUCGCGCCCACUCCUCCAAGAGCCCGGGGUGUCUCUGCACCUCAUUCAUAUCACUGGUGUGACUUUUGUAUCUUGUGCUGUGAUGUGGACAGCAGACCCUUCUCCCUUGUAUGUUUAACACGCGUGUUGUGGUGUGGUGUGGUGUUGGCUGCUCAGGACACACCCUGUCGUCCACCGCACUCGGGGAGUUUCCUGCGUGACACUGGGGUCAGCAGCGUGGUUGGAAUCUGGUGAUGGAGCUGGUCCCUGCCCACAGCCCCCGCCACAUCAGUGGCUUUUCCCGCAGCUCCCCACAAAAGGAUGUGCCGCCUAGCAGAGAUGAGAAUCAGGUUUUCUUGUAAGAAAGAGUUGCUGAAGGAAAGCCGGUCACGUGCAGUGAUGUUGUGAAAGAAAGUGAUGACAAGCUAAAAAAAGAAGGACACUGAGAAAACAUUAUUAUCAGCAGAGUUUAUCUGGGCCAGAUUUGGGGACCCCAACCCCAGGAUGCUACCUCAGGAGUGUUCUGAGUUGCAGCGAUUACAAGCAGAUUUUUUAAGGACAAAAUGAGGAGAUGUGGCAAGGUGGUCCCAGCCCCUUCACCUAGAGGGGCCCUUGUUGACAGAGGUGAGCUGAUGAAUGAUCAGUUGAAGACUCCCGUGCUUCUGGGAAUAGUCAUUGUGAGCAUGUGGUCAGCCCGGUUGCUAGAAUUCUUCCCAUGAGCAGGUGGGGUCCAGGAACUUCAGGGGCUGACUGUGGCCUCAUGCCCAGUACCUUUAGCCAUUUUAAUUUACCAAACCUCAUUGUCCCAUUCUCUUUUCAGGUUCUUGGCCAUAAAAUAUGGCUUUUGGAAAAAUAAAGCUGAGACUUGGAGUUCACGGUGGGGGCUCCCCCAUCUGUGAACAGAAGCAGAAGUUUGGAACUGCCUUCUUUACUGCUCGAGAGGGAAAACUUGAGUGAAAACCAGGAUGCUGGCGAAUGUUGAGUAGCUAAGCUGCACAGGAAAUACCACUUGAUGACCUGCGAUCUGGGGAAGCCGCGCCAGGGCUCUGCGAAGCUGCGGACGAGGGAGGCGUCAGUGUGGGGGCUGCAGCUCAGCUCCGGGGGGGACGCGCCUUUCUCCACGGGACCUGGGGCUCAGGUGCUCACGAGGCUGGGGCGCUGCAGGCCACCCGCAGGGGAAACUGAGGCCCUCCAUUUUGUGGGGCUGGAAGACCUUUCCUUCCAAAAGCAGGUGUAGGCGGGAGCACCUGUGCAGUCCCUCUGUUCAGAUCCUCACCCACUUUUAAAUCAGGAAACAGCAGAUGAAAUGCACAGUGUGAAGGACAAGGAUUCUGCUGAGAGAAUUGCUCCGAGGGUUGCUCAAGUGAUCAUGGGAAAUAAUGCAUCAAACCAUUCUUUAGAUGCAGCUCAGGUGUGCCUUUUCUUCGCCUGUGCCCAUCCACCUGAGAUGGACCAUAACCAUAAAAGUCAGAAGGCACUGACCCUUCAGGACGUGACAGGGUUAAAAGAUGCUGGAGGGAAAGUCUGUCAUUGACUUUUAUUCACUUCCUUUCUCCAUUCUGCCAUUUGGAAGAAGGUAAGCAACUUAACACUAUUUUAGACCAUAUGUUGUAAACUAGCAGGAAAAUGCCUUUGAGCUGAUGAUGGUGGCCCGAACACAGUGAACCUGUCUUAAAUCCCUGCUUUAAACCCUUAAGGGUGUCACUUACAAGAGAUACUAUUUGAAGUCUUCCCAUGCAUGUGUAGGGUGGGGGGAGUACCAACAGCUCAUCGAAUGGGCUCCAUUUGAAAGAUCUGGAUGGUUGCCUUUAUUUGUAACUAGUUUCUUUUCUUUUUUUUUUUUUCCUUGAGAUGGAGUCUUGCUCUAUCACUGGGCUGGAGUGCAGUGGCGCAAUCUCAGCUCACUGCAACCUCUGCCUCCCAGGUUCAAGCGAUUCUCCUGCCUCAGCUUCCCGAGUAGCUGGGACUACAGGCAUGUGCCACCACACCCAGCUAAUUUAUGUUUUAUUUUUUAGUAGAGACAGGGUUUCACCAUGUUGGCCAGGAUGGUCACGAUCUCCUGACCUCAUGAUCUGCCUGCCUCGGCCUCCCAAAGUGCUGGGAUUACAGGCGUGAGCCACCGCGCCCGGCCGUAACUAGUUUCUUAGAUGACAGCUCAGUCCACAGGAUUGAGUUAAGUCAGCUUCCCAACUUUGGGGCUGAUCCUGUCCUCAUGGCAACCUAAGAAAGUCCACCAAGGAUGUUGUCCAUUGGAAGUUGUCAAGACUUUGUCCUCAUCCAAGACAAUUAGCUUCCCAUACUUAUAUAGAGGGACCCCGUCCCUAUCCCCAAAGUGGCUUCACACUCCUUAACUCAGCUGCCUGCCUGGAACAGAAGGAGAGUUGCUGGCCUCACUGACAGAGCAUGGGGCUGGUUGACAAUUCUAAAAGCCUGGCCUGUUCCUCUGAUUGGCUACUCAGAUAGGAGAACCAGAGCAGUAGCCCAGGCUGAUAAUCAGGAACCUGGGGCCCUGGAGUUACCUGCUGCUCCUGGUGUCUGCUAGAGCUCCCUAGACAUCUUUUUAGAUGGAGGUCUGUGGCUCAGUGUGCCAUCACGCUGUCCUGUUGGCUGCAGUCUCAAGCUGGGACAGAAUGAUCAGACUGAAUGCUUGUGUCUUCCCCAAACUUGUAUGUUGAAACCUAAUCCCCAAUAUCAGUGUGUUUGGAAGUGGAGCCUUUGGGAGGUGGUUAGCUCAUGAGGGUGGAGCCCUUAUGAAUGGGAUUAGUGUUUUUGUUGUUGUUGUUGUUUUUGAGAUGGAGUAUCACUCUGUCACCAGGCUGGAGUGCAAUGGCGCGAUCUCGGCUCACUGCAACUUCCGCCUCCCAGGUUCAAGUGAAUCUCCUGCCUCAGCCUUCCGAGUAGCUGGGACUACAGGCACGUGCCACCAUGCCCAGCUAAUUUUUGUAUUUUUAGUAGAGAUGGGGUUUCACCAUGUUGGCCAGGAUGGUCUUGAUCUCUUGACCUCAUGAUCUGCCCGCCUCAGCCUCCUAGAGUGCUGAGAUUACAGGCGUGAGCCCCCGUGCCUGGCCUUGAAUGGGAUUAGUGUUUUAAAGAGGCCUGAGAGAGACUCCUGGCCACUUUUGCCUUAUGAGGACACAGUGGAAAGGUCCCAUCCCUGAACCAGGAAAUGGGCACUUACCAGACACUGAAUCUGCCUGCAGCUUGACCUUGAACUUCCCAGCCUCCAGAACUCUGAGGAAUAAAUUUCUGUUAUGUGAUAAGCCA